AUGAACGCUGGCGGCGUGCCUAAUACAUGCAAGUCGAGCGAACAGACGAGGAGCUUGCUCCUCUGACGUUAGCGGCGGACGGGUGAGUAACACGUGGAUAACCUACCUAUAAGACUGGGAUAACUUCGGGAAACCGGAGCUAAUACCGGAUAAUAUAUUGAACCGCAUGGUUCAAUAGUGAAAGACGGUUUUGCUGUCACUUAUAGAUGGAUCCGCGCCGCAUUAGCUAGUUGGUAAGGUAACGGCUUACCAAGGCAACGAUGCGUAGCCGACCUGAGAGGGUGAUCGGCCACACUGGAACUGAGACACGGUCCAGACUCCUACGGGAGGCAGCAGUAGGGAAUCUUCCGCAAUGGGCGAAAGCCUGACGGAGCAACGCCGCGUGAGUGAUGAAGGUCUUCGGAUCGUAAAACUCUGUUAUUUGGGAAGAACAAAUGUGUAAGUAACUAUGCACGUCUUGACGGUACCUAAUCAGAAAGCCACGGCUAACUACGUG
rnacentral:rRNA from 1 species